rnacentral:lncRNA from 1 species
CAGAUUCCCCAGCUUCAGAAACUCGUCUGGAAUUUUCCCCGAAAAGCGGUUUUGCUGCAACUCGAGCACCAGUAGCAUGCUCAAGUUUCCCAAGGAUUCUGGGAUUGCUCCUUCAAGCUUGUUGUUCGAUAGGUUAACCUCUCGGAGCGCAAUCAAAUCUCCAAAGUUUGUUGGUAUGCUUCCGGUGAGACUAUUAUUCGCGAGCAAUAAAAGCUUGAGAGAUGGCAUUUUUAAAACUGGAAUUGGCCCCUCAAAAAAGUUAUUGUGCAACCAUAUAGUUACAACGGAUGAUAAAUUGGCCAUUGAAGGUGGAAGCUUCCCAGACAAACGGUUUCUUGAAACAUCAAAAUCUAGCAAGGCCUGCAACUGACCAAUUCUCUGCGGUAUGUGACCGGUCAGAGAAUUGUUACGAAGAUCCAAGAACACCAAAUUUGUCAAACUUGCAACUGACUCAGGAAUAGAACCUGAAAGCCGAUUGGAGACCAAAGACAGCCUAAACAGAUUCUUAAGACUCCCAAGACUUUGUGGAAUCUCCCCAACAAGCCCAGGGUUGCCACCAAUAUCGAGGACUUGAAGGAAAGAUAUCAGAGUUACGGAAGCAGACAGAGAGCCUUCCAGGCGAGCGCCGUAACUCGAAGCUGGUAGAUUGAUUUCGGUAACUCUGCCGGUCCUGUUAUCACAAGUUAUUCCUUUCCACAUGCAGCAACGGUGGCCAACCCACGAUGCUAGGCGGUUGCCAAUGUCGUUGUGGAUGGCGGCUUUGAAAUCAGUCAGCCCUUUCAGGUCCAUCGGAUUGCAUGCGUUUCCCUCCGCCAGAACGGUUGAGAGGCUGAUGAGCAGUACAAGUAGAAACUUGAUCAUCAUUUUGCUAGUGCUCUUCGGCACCAUCACCGCCCAAGAAAAAUCAGCCAAUUGUAUAGCCAUUUUAGCCUCCUCCGACGAGUAUUUCCGAGCUCUGAUCAAUUCAAGAACGAGGGUCGCAAAUCUGAAGGCUCAAUCUUUGGGCAACCCGUAGCUUUGACACUAUCCUCAACUGCCACCACUGCUUCCAACCUACAGAUCCUCACUGCUCUCACCCUCAGACUACAACAACUCUGCUCCGAUUAAAAGAGAGGAGAAGAAAUCAUGUUUUCGCGGUUUGUUUCUGUGGAAUUCUGAGGUCGCUCGGGAGUAUUUAUAGCCAAAAAUUUAUGCCCAAAUUUUAUAAAUGUCAAUUUUAAAAAAUUUCAAAACAUAGCCAAAAACCACAAGGAAUAGACUCAAAUACCCUCAAAAUUAAAAACAACAUAAACCUAAAAUCAGAACCCUACUAGAUAAAAGUAUGGAAAUUUCCGGUUCUGAUAAAAGUACGGAAAUUUCAUAAGAUAUUUCUAGGUUUACUGUCGAGAAAAGUUGUUGCAUGCAACUAUAUAAACCUAUUAAUUUAAUUCUGCCAUUUAUAAAAGGGCAAUGCAAGUCAGAAAAAUCAGUUUUUCUUGAUUUUAGUGAAAAAGUGAAGCUUCGUUUGAUCCAACCUCGUUGAUAUCACAUACAGAACAAAUGAAUUAUAGGGAUUAUAAUAAUUUAAAUUUCAUGAAGUUGAUUUAGGUGAGUGGAAAAGAAAAUUAAGAAAAUCUCAAAAUCCAUUAACAAUUUCUACAACGAAAAGAAAUAAUCAUUAGUGAAGAGCAAGCCAAAGAGCUCCAUUGAACUCCUAUGACCGACAUGUAUUGAUUUACAAAAUAGAUUUUCCAUGUAUUUAAAAAAACCAAAAAUUUAACUUAAGAAUUAAAUAUUUGGUCAAAGUACAUGACCACACCAAGUUGGGGAAUAGUACCCUAUUUUUUUCACCCUCCAUGAACGAAGUAAUUUAGGCGCUAACUAAUGUUGGUAAGUGUUUUUGACAUUUUAAUGGUGUUGAAACUUUCCUGGUGAAGUCCACUUUUCGAUAGUCCAAGUCAGUUUUUUACGAUGAGCAGUAGCUAGUGCAGCUUUCGAUAGUCCAAGGACUUCAGGCAUAUUGUAAUUGGGAGUUAAUUUUAGGGCAUUUAAAUCUAUUCAAGUGUGUUUUUGGCUAUAAUUGAUAGUUUUAAAAAAGCUGAUAGUUUUUUUUUCUUUGAAGAAUUAUUAUUAAUAAGUGAGAUGGAGAGUUCAGAACUAUUCCAAUAAUUUAAAGAAUAAGAAGUUUCGAUCCGAUGAUGCAUGGGUGAAGAUCCAACAUCCUAUUUACUAAGAUAUUGAAUCACAUGUAACCCAAUAAAACGUGUGAACACGAUGAUAUUCACCAAAGAAACAACCCUCCAUGUGAUAGCCUUGCUAUUAUUUUGCUUCCAAUUAAUAAAAAAUUGCUAGAAACUUUUAUUUUUGCUAGCAAACCAACAAAAGUGGUUUUAUUUUGCACUCCUAUUCUAAUUAAUCUAGCCAUCUACUAUUCUUUCACACACCCAGUUAAGGUUUGAAACCACUAAAUAUACCCAUCUCCAUGUGCUGUAUUUUCUAAUUAAAGUUUGAGAUUAUGAAUAUAUACCAAUCUACAUUUGCUUUAUUUCCUAAUUAAAGUUUGAAAUUACUAAAAUCUUACAUUUGGUUCAUUUUCUCCUUCAACCUGCCGCACCCAAAUAAAGUUAAAAACCACUAAAUAAACCAGUAGUCUACAUUUGGAUGCCAAGAGACUUUUAUUCUCUUUUCCAAUCAAGGGUUCAGGGGUAUGAAGACGGAGAUGGGGGGAAACACGUAAUGGGAUCAAUGGGAUGGAAAUGACAUCCCCAUCAUCGCUUCAACUUAUUGCGAGACAUAGUUGAGUUUCUCUCUCACCAAAAAUCAGUAAGAGGCGUUUUUCAAAUCGUCCUACGCACGACUUACAAAUUUGUAAUUUAUUGUUUAUUAUUUGUAUACACAUUCUUAUUUGUUACAUCCACAUAUUGUUCCAACCAACAUUUUAAUCCAACUAUGCAAGGCAUGUUCAAUAACGUACUGCACAUUACAAAUCCAUAAACAGAUGAAGCGAUUAAAUUUAUUUAGAACCGAAUUUUAAGACAUAAAAAUUUACGCCCGAAUUUUAAAAUUAAUCCAUUUUAUUAUUAAAAAAAAAAAAAGAAGUAAUAAAGUUUGGUACUUGUCUUUAUAGUGGAUAAAUGUCUCUAUCUUGCAAGUGAUCUUUUAUCACAGUGGUGGAGAUGAGUUUGCUCUUACACCACGAUGUGGGUUCGAACCCUGACGACUCCUUAAUUUGAGAUCUAAUCUAACAAAUCUAUCGUUUGACAAAAAAAAAAAAAGUUUCUAUCUUGUUCUUUCAAUUUGGUUGAAAGGAAUCAAAUAAUUUGUAGCCAAUUUAAUGAAAAAAAAAUGAUGGUUUGUAUCUUGAAAGAAACCAAAAUGAUGGUUUCUAUCUUGAAAGCCUUCAAGUUGCAUGCAUCUGCAUCGUUAGACAAUUUUUUUUUGCCGAUUGCCGAAUGAAGUUUUAAACAAGCAAGCUGCAAAUAUAGCCAGCAAUCCCAAAAUGUUAUAAUCUUGCAUUUCUUUCUCUUCCCGUAUAGUUUCUGCCAUUUGAUAGUUUCUAUGUUGUUCUUUCAAUUUGGUUGAAAGGAAUCAAAUAAUUUGUAGCCAAUUUAAAGAAACAAAAAUGAUGGUUUCUAUCUUGAAAGCCUUCAAGUUGCAUGCAUCUGCAUUGUUAGACAAUUAUUUUUUGCCGAUUGCCGAAUGAAGUUUUAAACAAGCAAGCUGCAAAUAUAGCCAGCAAUCCCAAAAUGUUCUAAUCUUGCAUUUAUUUCUCUUCCCGUAUAGUUUCUGCCAUUUGAUAGCUCCAACUCACCUCCUUAAUUAAUUUAAGGCUAUAGCUACUAAUACAUAUACAUUACACGUAUAUGUGUAUGUAUUUAAGGUGAUAAAAAAAAUUAACAAAACAAGGUUUCGGUUCGGUUUAGUAUUUGUUUUCCAGCUUAUUGUUUUUGUAACAGAUCAAAGUAUUUUAAAACAAAAAACUACAUUCUGCAUUGUUUGUAAAAGAAAAUAAACAUUAGAAAUAGUUAUGAAUGACGAAAGCGCUCAAAAUUUUAAUAAGCAUUUAGACAUAUUGGUAAGGAAUAUGAUUUUCGCUCUCAUUUUCUCCUCAUAAAUUAUGUACUUGUUUUCGUUCAUUUCCAAUUAUUGAUUUGUUUAAUCGCGUGACCAGAAAUAAAAAGAAGAGUGUAAACAAAUAAAAAAUAAGUAUGAAAAUCGGUUUUCAUUGACGAGUCUAUAAAAUGAAGUUCCAAACAAGCCCUUAUAUAUUAUAAAUAACCUCAAGACUCAAGUUUGGUGAAAACUGAAAAGAAUAAAAUGAAUAAAGAAAGUUAGAACCCUCGAGGCUACGUACUUUAUGUUCUUCAAGAAAAAUUGGUCAAAAUCAAAUCAUAAAAUAAGGGGAUAGACUAAUAUUCAAAUCGUAUUAGCUCAUAAAUUUCCGUGUUACUUAAUUCAUUCAAUUCAUUCCUAAUAUGAUAAACUAAUGAAGAUAUGUGCGUCUUUUUUCUCUAAUUGAUGUUGGGACCUUUAGCCUUUUAGAUUUGAGUGGUGGAUUUCAAUUUGCGAACAUCUUAACCUCGAACUCGAUUUAUCAGGAAGAACUCCGACACUUAGAAAGCGAUUUCAUCAUUUCAAACUUUUAGAUUAAAUUAACUUUGCACGUAAGGCUCAUCACAUGUGCAGACCUUUGAUGGUGGUUGUGGUCAUGUAAAUUUCAGUGAAAAUAAAUGUUCACCAAUGCAUUAAAUUUUGGUAUGCGAGGGCUUACGUGGCAUGUACUACGUGUCUCAUAAAUUGUACACAUGACAUAUGACUCAUCAAAAUCAAACGAGUCAUCAAGAGGACAAGUGUCAGCAUAUGACAGAAAGGGAUUAUUUGAUUUUAAUUAAAAUGAAACAAAUUAAUAAUUUAAAUGAAUUGAUUUAUUUGUUUUAUAUUUAUUUAAAUCAAAUAUUAAUUGAUGGAGUAAAAUCACAAGUCACGAACUGACACACAAAUCAAGUCUUGAUUUUUUCGUAAGCAAAGUUUGGAGAGUUUGUAAAUAGGAGGCUCCAUGACAAAGAAAAUGGUCCAUAAAUCAUUUAAUGUCCAGAAGUUGAAGCUUUGAAACUCUAAAGCUCUCAAGCAUCCAAAUUCCCAAAUACUAAUAAGAAGAAUUUCUUCGCCAAAACUUUGAAGAAUCAUCAAGCACCCCACAGGUGUCAGUUCUUCCUUCGUGACAAGCCAAAUCCGUGAGGCAAUCGUUCAUCCAAGAUCAAGUCAUCUCGACCCUUGGAUCAAUAUAUAACCCCUACAUUACACGUCUACACAUUUUGAAGAUCGAAUAAGAUGAUCAAAUUGUAAAGAUAUUGUAACCCUAUAAAUUCAUUAAUACAAUUAGUGUUAUCUUGUCAUUUGUUGCAAGAUUUUCUGUUUACAAUGAUUUACAUAAAUUUUAAUUUGGAGUUUAUUCCUUAAAAACUUUCUUAAAUUUUUAAUAACAAGGUUAUCAUUUAAAUAACUUAUUGCCAAGGAGCAUUUAUCAGAUUUAGCCCUUACAGAAAAUGGGUGCGUACCGUGGAGAUGCAAUGGUAAUAAUCUAUUGGAUUUUUCAUAGAAAAAAAUAAAAAUAAAAAUCAAACAGGUCAAAGAUUGAGAGAAAUGAUGAGGGGGAGGCAGUUGAAUGAUGGCUCAGUUCUUGAAAGUACCCGAUCGAGAUCCCUUUCCCUCUAAGACGCAACAGCAGCAGGCCGAGCUCUUCGAUUUCACAGAGCAACAACAAUGGCUUUUACACCCCACGAUGCCCACAACCCCAAGUCCUACUCCUCUCAUAGUACCACUCGAAAGCCUCCUUUCAUAGUACUGUACCAGCGGCCCUACUCAAGUUUCAGUCGGUGAGACGAAAAAAUGAUCGACUCCACCGCUCCUAUUCCAAUAAGGGUAUUAGUUUGCUACAACAUAAAUAUACGUAGUCGGUGAAGAUUCCAUACAGUCGAUGAAAAAAGGUCUGGUGGUGAGGUUUUCACUGGAAGUCGGUGACCUUGGACACACUCAACGCAAGAAGAUUGCAUGCACGGCCCUCUUCAGGAUGUUGCUAUUGCAUUGCAUCUCAAAUAUAUACUGCCCUUAUAUUCUAUGGAGCAAAUGUUGGUGGUGGAACCGUGGGACAAUUGUGGGUCAAGAAUAAAUUUCCUCUAUGUGACUCCUAUUUUAACCCAAGUUAACAUCACAUAUUUAGUUAACAAACAACUACACCUUCUAAGUUUACAAGGCAAAAGGAAAAAUAUUACAAACCAUUCAUUUUAGUUUUGGCUACAUUGGAGGGUAUUCAUUUUGAAUCUUCUUAACCAUGACAGUGAUUGAUUAGUUUUGGUUAUCUGAAUAGUGGUGUUUCAAUUAAAUUGAUGAUAUUGAUGAUACCCCGUAUGCAGGAAAUAUUGAAGACUACUCUCUGAGUCAACUGCGACUUCUUCCAAAGAAGAAAGUAGAAGGUCCUUGUCGAGUUUACCUUUGGAAGGGAUGUGACCCGAUAUGCCGUUGCCUGAUCAGCUUGGGGCCAGGCGUGACUACUAUUUUUUUAUUUUUUUGUCAAACGAUAAAUUUAUUAGAUUAGAUGUUAGAUUAGGAAGUGGACGGUGGGGAGGAGGGUUUGAAUCCACGUCGUGGUACAAAGGCAACACUCCUCUCUGUCACUAUCGAGCACCGGUCAAUGUUAUACCGUCAAGGAUACAGAAGAGUUUCCUUCCAACUAGGAUGCCAAUCACAGCGCGACACGUGUCGACAUAAGAAGCCAAUCAUAACGCGACACGUGUCAACAUCAGAAGCCAAUCAUAACAUGACACGUGUCAAUGUCAAAACAAAGCUAUAAACUCUCUUAUAUAAAAGGAGAUCAUUCUCCCACAAUAUUUCCUAAUGUCAUUUGUAUUAAAUCAUUCACUAGUAUUCACUAAAGGAGAGCUUGAACCUAUGUACUUGUGUAAGCCCUUCACAAUUAAUGAGAACUCAUUUACUCCGUGGACGUUGCCAAUCUGGGUGAACCACGUACAUAUUGUGUUUGCUUCCCUGUCUUUAUCCAUUUACAUACUUAUCCACACUAGUGACUGGAGCAAUCUAGCGAAUGUCACAAACUUGACACUUUCUGUUGUACCAAAGUUCUCACUGAUUUUGUGCAUCAACAAACUUCAUCAUCGCUUUCCUUCCAAUGCUCAAACAAAAUGUUCUUGAUGUUUCUGUGAGCAGCACCAACAAAGAAGGCAAAGAGCGGACGCUUAUCUGGGGGUUCUCUAAAGCGGGGCGCCCCAAGGUCAAAGGCUUUUAGGUUAUAUUCCGUAAUGAGACGUCUCUUGUAGACUUGAAUCCUUCAGAGGUGUUCGUGUUGCAUACACCUUCAUGAGAUUCUUGUAGGGCCUAAGGUCAUCAGUUGAGAUAAUUGGUGCCUGAAAAAUUAAAUACAUUUUAGUUGAGCAUCAACAUAUUUUCCUAGCUGUAUUUUAAUUCAGUGACAUAAAAUUAUAUUGAAGAUUGACAUCUACACUCCAAAACUUGAAUAUCUCAAAAUCAAGCAUAUGUAUCAGUGGUGAAAGGCUCUAUUGUUUCUAAUUUGGUAUACCAUCUUCCAGUGAGGACAAAAUAUUUAAGGUGUAUAUACCCUUGACGAGAGAUACACACAGAGGGUGUAUACUCCGAUUCACCAUAGUUUUAAGUUCGUGUUACAUGCAAUUUAUCCAUCUAAGUAAAAAGAAAAGAAACAAAAUAGAGAAUAAAAGCAAUCAUGGCUUGGCUAGCCAUUUCAUUCUGUUCAAUAUAAGAGUAAACUGCCGAUUUGCCUCCUGAACUAUCACCCAACUUUCGAUUUGCCCCCUGAACUUUUUAAUUAGAAAAUUAAGGACUUAAACUAAUUUUUUUGGCUGAUUUCCCCCCUACCGUUAGUUUUUCAUAAAUUUCAUCCAAAUUAACGUUAACUCUCAUCAUGUGCAAACUACGUAACUCUCAUUUGUGGACAAAAGCGUCAUUUCACUAGACCUUCAGAUAGAAAAGCUAUAGAAUCACACAUAUUUGCAUAGGUUUAUAUUUUAGAAAUCUAAGGUUUUCAAUUAUUUUAAAGAAUGAAGUGACCGAACUACCCACUCAUAUUGUGCAUAUGCUUCCAUUUAACAGAAAUUUGGAUGGAAUGAAUGAAAUUAAUAGCAGGGGGCAAAUUGGCCAAAAAAAUUAGUUUAAGUCCUUAAUUUUCCAAUUAAAAAGUUCAGGGGGCAAAUCGAAAGUUGGGUGAUAAUUCAGGGGGCAAAUCGGUAGUUUACUCUUCAAUAUAAUAAUGUCAUUCGCUAAAGAAGCAACAAUGCCAUCAUGCUCGUAUUUGAGAUGAGAAAAGAAUUAAUCUUGGCAAUUAGUUAAUGAGGAUUUGCCAUAUAUUUUAUAGAAAAAAAUAAUAAUGAGGAUUUGGUAAUGAAGUAGAAAAAUAGAGCUUGUACAAUGUACAGAGUUGAUUUUAUAGAAAAAUACAUUUCUGCAUGAUAUAUUUGUUUAUGGUAAUUAGCAUGCAUGGCAGUCCCAUUCCAUAAAGAGCUUGUUUGACAAAAGUAUAUAAGGGGUGCUUUGCUUGUUGCUUGGACACAAACAAACAUUUACCCCUUGAUAUAGGUAUAGAGCAACGGCAAUGGCUAAGGUGUCCAUACUCUUGCUUAUUUGUUUAUUCUUUAUGCUAUUUGAAGGUGGUUUGGGUGCGCAAGAUCCUCCUGUAACCAGAGUUGUGAAUAUAACUAAUGACUUGGGGUUAAGGAUUGACUUACUCGUUCACUGCACAUUCCAUGGCGAGAACCUCGGUCUACAAACCCUCUCAUUUCACCACUCCUUUUCUCAUAGCUUCAAAUCCGAUGUCGUCACUCCCAAGACAUGACUCUUUUGCCUCUUGUGGUGGCAAAAUGGCACUAAUGUUUUUGAAUUGUAUAACCCUCAACGAGAUGAUCACCGUUUUGCAACUAAGUAUUCUUGGAGCAUUAGAUGCAAAGGAGCUUAUUCCUAUGAUGAGAAAAAUAAUCGUUGGGAUCUUCUCUACACUUGGAAAAAGUGAGACGAAACUCUACAUUUAUAAUAUUCUGAGGAAUAAAUAACACAUCAUGAGGAGGAAUAAAUAAAUGAAAAGUCUCUUCCCUUCUCUUAUCUUGCAUUCGCUUAUUUCUAUUUCUUCUCUUGUUUAAUUCUUGUUAUUCAUUUUCUCUUAUUUCUUUUCCAUUACGUUACGUUAUGCUAGAGGAAAUUGAAUUUUGAACCCGUACUAAAACUGAAUCUUGAACUUAUUCUAACUCAGUCACCACAGGGCUAACCCCAAUGUCCUUGACUUUUAUUACUUCUCAUCACAAGUGUCUUUCGCAAUUAUUUUGUUUAGAGUAAAUUUAGAAUUUGCACUCAAGUUUAAAAUUCAUCCCCAAACUAAUUUCGUUAAUUUACGUUCCUAAUUAAAAUUAGAGAAAUUUCUUAGUGUAUUUUAAGUAUAUACAAAUCUUACGUCUCUCUUCAUGAGAUUUUAAAAGAAUUGAAUCAAUUUUUUACAUAGAAUUUUAAGAUUAUCUUAAAUUCCUAAUUGAAUACACACUAAACUUUGUUAUUACAAAAAUGUAAUCUUCCGAAUGUUCUAUUACAUUUAUCAGAUUUAGCCAAUCUGGAAAAUAUGUGCAUACUUUUUGUUACCGUUGGGGAGCCACGUGGCUUCCCCACGGCCGUUGGAUUUCAACGGAUAUAAAUUGUGAACCGUUGGAUUUCCAACAGUAAAAAAAAUAAAAAACUUCAUUUAAUAUCACCCGUUAGAUCUAAGAUCAACGGUCCACGUUAUUAGACUUAAAAAAUUAAAAAAAACAAAACAAAACAGUAAAAAAAUCAGAAAUAUUACCGUUGGGCCACGUGGCACAAUAUGGAGUGUUGGAAUUCAAAUUGGUUUAAAUCCAACGGUAUAGAUUAAUUAGGUGAAUAAAAAAUUUUAAAAAUUGUAAAAAAUUAUUAAAAAUCUGAAAAAAAAAAUUGAAAAAAAAAGAUUUUACUUUUCUAUAAAUACCUUCUCAUUAUCUUCUACCUUACACCACAAUUUCAUAUCUUCUCAAAGUUUGAAACCAAUUUCAUAUAUUGUCAAGUUUGAAUCCAAUUUCAUAGUUUUAUAUAUUUACUUUUCGGAUAAUGACACGUGGCGCGACGUGAUUAGUUAAAAAUCUUAACGGAAAUCCAUCACCAAUAAUUGUCUUUUCAGAUAAUGACACAUGGCACAACGAGAACGAUUAAAAAUCGUAUCUGAAAUUACGAAUAAAAUUAUUUUGUAUUAUUUUAUAAAUAAAAAAAAUUCUAAUAUUUUAUUGCUAUAUUCUUUUCGAUUAAUGACACGUGGCGCAACGAGAACGAUUAAAAAUCUUAUCCGAAAUUACAAAUAAAAUUAUUUUGUAUUAUUUUAUAAAUUAAAAAAAUAUUAAUAUUUUAUUGCCAAUUGCCAGGGCUAUUGAGUGCAGGGGUGGAGAUGCAAAAGGCAAUUAUUGUUCAUUAAAAACAGUUACUGUUCAUUGGAUGGAUAGCAUAAUGGAUUGUCUUAGGGACAAUGGACCACACUGGAACUGCUAUGAGAGAAAUGGUGAGGGGAGGCAGUAUGACCUCAAGAUUUAAAAUAAUAAAAUUGAUAAAGAAAGAUAGGGACAAGGGUCCUCUACGGAUCAAUUAUCUGCGAAUGCUUUGGAACCAACUAAUCGUAGCCGUUGAUACUAGAUCUUGCAGUCAAGAACCAUGUUUUAGUUUUCUUUGCCUUCUUUCUUCCUUGCCCAUUCUGUUGUUCUCCGUCUUUCUGUUGUUCUUCCUUGCCCAUUUCUUCUUGCUCAUCGUCUAUAUGUGGUUCUCCUUCAUAAUUUUAUAUGUUUUCCAGGAAAAAUUGUUAUGAGUCACCUCCAACAAAUGUCGAGUUUCUUUCUGAUAGUUCUUUGUCAUGCACACGAACCAUACGAAAAACAAAAACCAACAUUGACUCUGAACAAUAGCCGUUGCUUAAGGAUCUGAAUUUGAUUUGUAAGUCAUAGUCAUCACAAGGGCUCUCCUCGACAAAGCGAGAGAUCGAGUACAAUCACAAAAACUCUUCUCCUCUCAACAAAAAAGUGACCACAAACAAAAAAGAUUCAUGGAAAAAAAUAGAAGGAAAAAAUCAAGAGAGAUUGCCGUCGACCCCAAGACUAACAGCCAAGGUCAACAACGGAGUGAUUUUUCCUUUUAAGUUUUAUCAAGAUGGAUAUUUUACAUCUUUCUAUUAGAGAAUUUUUCGUCCAACAAAAAAAUGUAGAAUACAUAUUUCAAGUGGCCCUACUCAAGUUUCAUUCGGUGAGAUGAAAAAAUGAUCAACUCCACCGCUCCUAUUCAAUCUAGUCGAUGAAAAAAGGUGUGGCGGUGGGGUUUUUACUGGAAAUCAGGCCAUCUCCAACCGACCAUGCCAAAGGGUCAUAGGACUAAAAAUAGUCCGUUUUGACAUGAAAACCGUCUCCAACCGAGGGUUAGGCCAAAUGGCUCGUGGGCCCCACCCGUCCAAAGGGCUGGCCAAGAGCAACCAGCCCAACCUAAGCCUGACGUCAUGUUACUGUUUGACUUUUCUUUUCUUUUUUUUUCCUGACAAAUUUUGUUUUUAUAAAUACCUAAACCAUUUCUACCCCAUUACUCACAUCAUUUUUAUCAUUCCAUAUUAUCUUACCUCAUUUUAUUUCAAUUCAUCACCAAUUUUUCACAUCAUUUUGAUUAUAUAAAGAUAAGAAAUCUGAAAGGCUUAUUAAUUUAGUGACAAGUGGCACUUAAAAUAUGUCCGAAAACUUUAUUUUAAUAUGGUAGUUCAAUUCAAUUAACCAUAUUAAUUCAAUUAAAAUAAUAAAUUAUGUUUAACCUAUGACCUCAUGGCCCUCUCAAUUGAAGAUGGUUUUUUGUCAAAUGACUAUGUUUGUCCUAUGGCCCUUUGGCCUCCUCGGUUGGAGAUGAUAUAAAAUAUGGUAUGACACUGUUCAUUAAAAUAUUAAUUUAUUGCAGAAUUAUAGGGCUAUAAGGAGUCAUUUGGAUCUCCUUCGAUUGGAGAUGGCCUCAGUGAUCUUGGACACAAUCAACGCAAGAAGAAUGCAUGCACGGAUGUUGCACUGCAUCUCAAAUAUAAAUUGCCCAUUUAUGUAGUAGAUGGUGGUGGUGGGACAGUGAGACUGUUUGGGAUAAAAUCUGAACUUUGGGCCAGAGAGAAAGUCGGCCCAAACCCAAGGCCCAGAGGAAAACUUAGGAGGCAGGAAAGAGGCUUUCGGCUGGGCACAAGUUACAAAGGCCACCUGCUUACCUGCUCAAAGACCACAGGGGGUAGGCUAUUCAGUCACUACACAGCCCAAUAAAGUACUUUAUUGGUGGCAUUCAUGUAAAAAAGCUAGUGAGUCAUCACCAAACCGCAUUCGGGCACCGCUAUUGCUACAGGAACCCAAGCUGAAGUCGUCUAUAAAAGGAGGAAGAGAAGACAGAAUUAAGGACACUCAAACAAAUAAACAAAAGCCAAAACUCUGCUCAAGCCAGAUUUGCCUUCAACGAAGCUGUAGUCAGCACAAGCCUUCAUCCCAUUCGGGAUAAACCUUCCCAAACCCCUGUAAUAGCUCUGCUACCUUGUUCAUGGUGGUAUCGAUUCAUUUUGUAUCCUCUUCUCCCCCGUCAACCCUUCUAAAAGCUUUCAGACCUCUGACAGAGCCACAAAGAUAGAUUUUGUAAGAAGUUCAGCCUUGGCCAAUAAGGUUCAAACUUACCCGACUAUCUUUGCUCUGUCUUUGUCUUUUCUUUCUUUUAAAAGCACAAUAACAUGUUAUAUAUUCCCAGUUAUAUACAAGUUAUUUCUAGCAAAGUCAUAAUGAAAAUGAGUCUUCAGCACUUGAAUCCGAUCUGAAUCGCGUCAGAGUUCAAAUCAGAUCUAAGUCUUAAGCCCGGCGGACAUGUAAUUUAAAGAUCAGUUUAAAAGUCAUUGGCCUCAAGGCAUAAAAAAGAACUCUAUGUGGACUUAACCCAUCCACGACAAUCCUUGAUAAGCGAGAAGUCCGAAGUUACUUGGGGCGCAAGUAAUCAAUCUAUUUCUCCGUUUUGUUGCUAUUAUAUCUUGAUUCGUAGAAAAGGCUUAAGCAUGGAGUGAAUUCUGAUAGAAAGCCUCAAGGCCUACACCUAAGGCCCCACGAAGGCAUCUAUUUAGCUUCAUUUCAUGUUGCGGUCUAGUUGGUCCGAGUAUAAGGAUUAACUCUGAUGGGAAGCCUCAAGGCCUAUACCUAAGGCCCUACAAAGGCACUCAUUUGGGUUCGUCCUACCUCUUGGAUUCAGAUAAUCAAAGGUAUAAUAGUGAUAAGACUCUGGCAACCAUAAAAGACCAAAUAUGAUACAUCCAAGCGCUGGUUUAGUUUGACAGGAAGCCUCAAGGCCUAUACCUAAGGCCCCACAAAGGCACCUGUUAUAUCUAACUUGGUUUCUCGGGCGUAUACAUAUUCAAUCAAAGCUUAACACCCAUUCAACAUCUGCCAUACUGAAGAUGGCAGUGGCACGCCUGAGCACGACAAAGUUAAUCUUGAUUGUGAGCCUUAAGGCCUACACCUAAGGCCCCACAAAGGCACCCUUUCAAAUUAACUUUGUCCUUCUCUUUCAGAACUGCCCGACGAGCCUUGCCCGAAGUGUGUCUUGCCCGACCAAGAUCUGCCCGACAAAGGCUUGCCCGAGCGAGCCCGAGAAGAAAGCAGAAGUACAACAGAUACCCUCAACCGACGCCAUUCUCCCAGGGGAGCUGUGUGCUCGUCCGCCAGGAGAUUCCUGCGACGAACAGAGACAAUUGUGCGUCAAUGGUAAAUUUCCUCUAUGUGACUCCUAUUUUAACCCAAGGUAAAAUCACAUAUUUAGUUAGUAAACAACCACACCUAGGGUUUAGGGUUAAACAUCACAUAUUUAUAAGGCAAAAAGAUAAAUCUUACAGAACCAUUAAUUUUAUUUGGUUAAAUUGGAGGGUAUUCAUUCUGAAUCUUCUUAGCCAUAGCUUAUUAUGACGGUGCUCAUUAGUUUUGGUCAUCGUUGUGGUGUUCUAAUUAAAUCGAUGAUACAUCUUGCCCUAACUUGCUCCCGCAUCGAGCAGGCACAACAUACAUCUUGUUUUUGCAUUGUCCGCAUUGUGCGUACAUCUUGUUUUUCCUUUUACCAUGAGGCUCAUGCCUACUCGAUGCAGGAGCAAGCUGGGGCAAGAGCUAGAUUGGACGAUAAUAUGGAAGGAUAGGAAUGGUUGACCGAAUCUGAUUUGGAAUUGUACAUAUCGUCUACAACACUCGACUUUUGAGUGCAUCAUAGUGAGUUUAAUAAAAUAUCAUAUCUCACGCUAAAAAAAAUUUGAUAAAGAACUUUACAAGAUGCCGAGAUGCUCAAAACCGAUCUGGUAACCGAAUGUUGAGCCUUCUAAGCCAUAUCGAGUGGAGCACGAUGUGAAAUACGCCAUAGGGCUUAGCUGUUCGCUUGAGCUCAAAGUGCCUUUUUACUUGCAUCACCCUCUUCUGCAAUUUCAAGUACCUUGAGUAAGGAACAGCUUUCAGUAUUGUCUUGAUUUCUGAUAUUCUCUUGGACGGAAUUUGUAUCGAAAACUUGCUCCAAUCAAGAACAUCAUCAAAUGGUACUGCAUAGUAGUCAGAAAUCAACACCAGGACACACCCUGCAUGCAUUGCCUCCACAACUCUAAGACUUGCCACUUCAGACCCACUUGGGCACAAGCAGAACUUGGUUUGUCCCAUUAGUUUGUGGUAGUUCAGGUCCCUAGGGAGCUUUUCGUAAACUCGAACUUCAUCAUCUUUUUCCUUCCCAUGCCCAAACAGAAUGCUUCUGAUUUCUCCAAGAGCAGCAUCGGCAAAGAAGGCAAGGAGUGGACACUUGUCUGGGGGUUCUCCGAGGCGUGGUGGCCCAAGGUCAAAGGCUUUUAGGUUAUAUUCUAGCAAUGAGACGUCUCUAGUAGGCUUGAAUCCUGCAGAGGUGUUUGUGUUGCAUAACACCUUCAUGAGAUUCUUGUACGGUCUCGGGUCAUCACUUGGGAUAAUUGGUGCCUGAAAAAUCAAAUCCAUAAUAGUUGAAAGACAACAUAUGUUCUUAGAUGCAAUUUAAUCAUCUAUGUUAUCUCAUAAUAAUUAUGAUACGUUUAUCUAACUAUGUGCCAAAUCGAACUCAAAAACCUGCUAACUUUUAGUUGUGCUACAAAACCAACAAGUGACUAGGAUCGGCAAUCAGCCAAGUUAUCUCAAAGUGCAUGAAAUGUCGUUUUGUUAACUGGCUUAACGGACAAGAGAUCCUCUAUGGAUCUCACUAUUUGGAGUCCAAAAAUAAACAAUACAGCCUACUCAAAUUGAAUCUAAAUCUUCAUGAACUCAUUUUGAUUAUCACCUCACACAAAUUAAGAGUUUCGAUUCUCUUUCACCCAAUACAAAGACCCGAAAUUUCUGAUUCUUAACCUCUGGACAUUUUGGUCUGGAGAGGUUCCGUAUUCCUUGGCAACAACCUAAACUAACAAAUUGUCCAAGUAAGGAAACCAACUAAUCUAAAUUCAAAUGGUUGAUUUGUCCUUGCAAAUCCUUGAUAAUACUAAAUUAUAAUGCAAAUCAAAAGAUUGAUGAUGAACCCACUCAAGGCACGAGACAAAAAAAUGGUCGGCCCCACCACUUCUGUUCCAGUAGGGGUAUUUAUCAGCUACAACAUAAAUGUAGUCGGUAAAAGUACGAUCCAGCCGAUGGAAGAAUGUCUCAUGGUGAGGUUUGAUUAGGUAGGUUGUAAUGCGUGGGCCUCGUCAGGAUGUUGGGCCACAAAUGGGCUUGGCCCACUUUCCAUCUCGAAUAUAAAUUGCCCUUCUAUGGAGUAGAUGUAUGUGGCGGGCCCAUUGUGAACCAUUGGCAAAUCUCCUUGUAACUCCAUAUCUUGAACCUCUUCACCAUCUCUACAUGACUCCUAAUGUAAUCCAAAAUAAUAACAUAACAAAUCAAAUUAGUAAACAACCAGACCACUAAGUUAACGACUCGUUUAGAAUUGCAUUAAAAUGAUUGAAAGAGGCUUUUGUAAAAAUGUUUUUUAAACCAAUCUUUAGUAAAUAUGCAAAUGAAUUCUGAAAAAAACACUUGAAGUAAACACACAUAACUAGUGCUUCUUGCAGGAAACACUUUAGGUGGUUUUGGAACCUAGAAGCAUUUUCUCUAAAAGCGUUUUCAGUCAUUAUAAAAGCACUUUCAAACGAGCUCUAAAUUAGUAGUAUCACUUGAUCAAAAGUUGAAAAGAAAUAAGGUUUCAAUCAAUGAAAUAGAAAAAUGAGGGAUGAGAAUCUAAUUUCUCCGUAAAUUUACCUACACUUCAAAUUAGGGUUAUAAAAUAUGAAUAUUUAGUAGGAUAUCACUUUGACAUGCAAUUAUCUUAAACUAAUUGCGUAUCUACAUACAUCUAAUUCUUUUCACAUGACAAUGCAUGAUUGACUAGAGAUACAUCACAAUGACUUCGCAUGUGUCAAGCAAUUAGCCCCAAAUUAUACACAUUCAAUCAAAUCGUAUAAAAAAAUAUAAAAAACUGCUUGAUGAAAUUAAAUUAAAUCAAAAUUGUAAAGACAAAAAGAUAAUUUUUGUGCUCGAAUGUAAGAUGCCAUAUGAUCGCACAUAUCUUGAAGAUAUGGCCAAGGCUAAUAAAAACAUAGCUCGAAUGGGAUGUAGUACCAGCACCACCCAAGAGGAAGCCCACAAGCACAUAUAAAUACAACAUAAGCACAAUGCCAUUCGUUAGGAAAAACGUGGAGCGCUCCGGAAAGGGAAGGGACUUGUUUGGUUUUAACUUCUAACUUGUAAAAGAUCAGUGGCGUAACAAAAUUACAGACAACCCAGAAAGGAAGCAGAAGCACCUCAAAAUCACCAAUUAAAAUUACAUCAACACAUAAGUGAAUAUGGUAGCUGAUGUAUUUGUUACGCUAAGACAUAAAUAUGGUCAUUUUUGUGUGUGGUUUACAAAUAUUCAUGUUGAUGUCAUUUCUCUGUUAGAUUUUGAUACGUAUGGUGCAAAAAUAUUCGUCAAUGACCUAAUCUAAAUUACCUAUUAACAAAAUUCAAUAUAACAGUGGAUAAGGUGUUGAGUUUUUACACUUGGGUCAUGGGUUCGAAACUCUUCAUCUCCUAAAUUAUUGUAGUAAUUAUAAACAAAAACUUUUUGUCAACCAAAAAGGUGUGAAAAGCUCAAAUUAAUCAUGUCAACAAAAUUAAAGAAAAGUAACCAAAAUAAAAUUCAUCAGCAAUAUAGUGAAGUAAAAGAAGAAAAGGUAGAUGACUCCAACUAAUAACUUAACAUAACUAAACACAAAAUAAUUUUAUUAUUUUUCUCAAAGCCUCACAGCCAAGUAACCAUAUCAGUUGUCCCUUUUUUCUCUCAAUAAAUAAACUUUUAAUAACAAAAUAAUUUUUCAUAAAAGUCGCUAAAGAAUGAAUAGCCACUUUAGUGACGAAAAAUCAUUUGGAAGUCAUCACUAAAAAACUUUAUAAACCAUUUUAUAUUUUCUCUUUUUGUAAAUUUCAUUUUCCAAAUUUUGAUAAGCACACGUCUACAAUUGCUAAUAUGUAAUUAAUUUCUUGUUUUUAAUUAAAGAAAAGUAAUUGGCGUUAUAUGGAAUUAUUAUAUAUUAUAUUUGGAAAAUUAUUUGGCUAAAUGCAUGUCACCCAAUUGUCAAUCACUCAAUGCUGAUUAACAAAGGAAUAAAACCAAAAAUUUAGAAUUGAAAAAAAAUUUAUAGAGAAAAUGAGAUUAAAAAUAAAAUAAAAAGGGACUUCACUGAUGAAAGGCAUAUGGAAUUCUGUAGGCACUUCCUCUGGGGAUGUAAGUCUCCUUCCGGUCGGAGGUGACAUUCUUUGUGAGAAUAGCUUUGCGGAUAAUUGCUCUUGCUAUCCCCAACUCCUCUUCAAUCCUCUCCGUUUUGCUCUUCUUCUUCGGGAUUUAAACACACAUUAAAAUUUACCCAAAUGAUUUUUUUUUAUAAACAAAAAAAUAAUAAUUAAACAGUAAAAAAAUGGAAGUUUACCUAUGAUGCAUGGACACGGACACGAAUACGGGGAUACGACACGAUACGACACGGGGAUACGUCAAAUUUCAAAAAACGAGGAUACGAUACGUCAAGGAUACGGCAAUUAAAAAUAUGUAUAAAUAAAUAAAUAAAUAAAAAUAUAUCUAAAACAUUAUAAAAUAAGCAUUCAAAUUAUUUUAUAUUCAAUAAACUCUAAACUGUUAGAAAGAUAGUCCAUCCAACAAGCAAUUAGUCUUAAAACUUGAAAAAGUAAAAAGAACAUCCAAAUGAAAUUAACAAAAAAAAAAAGUCUCAUUCAACUUCCACGUUCAUGAUGUCUCCUCCAGUAAUCAAAGUAGUCUCCAAUGAUGGUUCAUCAAGUGAAAGGUUAGCAAUAUCAAGCAUCCCGACACUUUCUUCACCCAAGUUUUCAAAGCCAUCUCCUCCAACAUCCCACAAUUGACUAAUACCUUCUUUGUAGGUUGCGCUAUUCCUUGAUAAAAGACGAAGAUUAUUAUGCACAAAUACCAAAUCAUCGGCUCUUUGUGGUGUAAUCUUGUUCCUUCUUAGAGAGUGAAUAAAACUGUAAGUGCUCCAAUUUCUUUCACAACAAGAGGAGGAACAAGGUUGUCCAAGUAGCUUCAACGCUAUGGAUUGGAGACUAGGUGUAGAAGCUCCAUGGACAAUCCACAACAUUACUGGUUCCAAAUGAAACCUAUCAUUCAUAGAAUCAAUAGCUCCAAAGUCAUUCAAGCACAUAGAGAAAGAGGCAUACUCCACAUUGAUACUUCUUCUAAUUUCCUCAUUGGAAAAGUAGUAUCUCUCAAAACACUUUUUCCUUUCAGUUGUAAGCUCAACAUCUUGGUGUGGGAGCAACCCGACUAGGGUCUUCUUGGAGCCAUUCUGAACUAUAAUACCUAAAAAUAAAAAUAUAGCACUUUAAAAAUAUAAUCAUAAAGCUAAAGAUUAAUUUUGGAAGAGUUUAUAAGUAUAUUAGCAAAAUCAUUACCUUGGAUUUAAUGAAUGCGCCAAACAAUGAAGUGGUGUGCUACUUUUAGUCCAUCGCUCUAAUAAAAUGCGAUACACCACAUCAAAAAAGCUGCUUUUUUCAUGUAAUGCCUUGCGCUCAUUCCUGUAGAUAGCAGCUUUCACCUUUUCAAUCAUAGCAUCCCAUCCACCACUCAUACACCAAAUGAAGACAAGGUUUAUCUGUGUCAGCCAUUCUAAUAACCUCAUAUAUUGGAGUUGUAAAGAAAAGAAUAUAAUCAAUCUUCUCCCAAAAGUACUCAUCCAAUAUUUUUUGCUUCACCGUCAUUGCUUUAACCAAAUCAUCUUCUUUGUACAAAGCCCAAUUCGGGCUAAUCACCAUUUGUUGUAAACCUUCCUUUACUUCCUUAAAUCUUCUAAGCAUCACAAGUGUGGAAGCAAAUCUGAAAAAUUUAAUAAUUAGGAUAGCUCAUAAUUGAAUAAGAAAAAAAAAGGAAAAAAAGUGGAGAAAACAAACCUUGUUUCGGCAAUGGAGAGCAACUUUAGUUUGCAAUGUUCAUUAAACAUAGACAAUCUCAUGCUAUGGUUCAUAAUAAAAAAUUUUAUGGACCAAACAUCACUUGCAAUAGUUGAAAUCCAAUUGCAGUCAUCAUACGAAACAUCUAUUUGUUUCGGAGAGCAUAUACUCUUCAAAGCAAGAUUAAGAGUGUGAACAACACAGGGUGUCCAAAAGAUAUGGGGAUAGUGGGCCUCAAUAAGUAACCCAGCAGCUCUACAGACAUGAGCAUUGUCAGUGAUCACUUGAACAACAUUUUCAUGACCAAUUUCUUUAAUAGCUUCUGUAAGGAAGUUGGCAAUACAAUACUUGUCUUUAUAUUCACCUUCACAAUUAAUUGCCCUCAAGAACAUAGGCCCACUUUCACAAGUUACCAUAAUAUUAAUAAGUGGUCUCCUUUGUGCAUCUGUCCACCCAUCACUGCACAAACUUACACCUUUAGUGCUCCAUGUGCGCUUGAUUGGCUGGAGGCAUUGCUCAAUGUGACUCUUCUCUUGUUGUAGAAGAGUAGUUCUUAGUGCAUUGUAACCUGGUGGAACAUACCCUGGAAGUGUAGAAGCUCGAACAUAUGAGUUUCGAUAAUGCGGAUUUCUUGCAAGGUUAAAUGAUAAGCCACCUGUAUAAAACAUCCUUGCGACUUCAGCAUCACAUUGAUCUCGAGCUUCCUUGUUAAAAGUUUUACUAAGAGGCCCACUUGUUCCUUUUCUCUUCUUUGGAUCAAGAUUCACUUCAGGUUGAUCAUAACAAAAAGAACCAGUGUUGGGCAAAGAAACAUUCUUAGGAGCAGAACUCUUCAGCUUAUAUUCACACUCCCGAAUUAACUUUUUCAUUUCUGCAAGAUUUUCAUCAGUAACCUUGCUGCAAAGUGCGACCCCGUUUCCAGCCAUUUUUAACAAAUGAAACCUGACCCUAGAGUAUGAUCCUUUGUAAGUUUUCUAACAAUAAUUGCAUUUGAAUUCAGCAUUCCCUCCUCCUUUUUUUUCCCACUUUUUCGAGCUUUUUGACAUACUUCCACAACGGAGUAUGAUCAUUUUCAACAAUCUCAUACAGAUUAGCAUUAUCAUCCGGAUUAGCAAUAUCAUUUGCAUGAUUAUUAGGGUGAUUCAUUUUCCUAAAUCAACAAACAUAUAAAAAGUAAGAGUUAAUCCACUGUAAAGACAAAGUUAUUAUAAUCUAAAUAUCCAUACCACUACACAAUAAUAUACUAUAAUAUGCAAAAUACAAUAAUAUUAUAAUAACAGAAAAAGUUAAAAACAGAAAAGCCAAAGUUGUCAGAUUUGAAUGGACUAUGCGGGUAGUGGAAUGGAUGGGUAGUGGGUACUAUAAUAUUAUAUUCUUUUCCUAGGGGAAUCAGAUUGUCUUCCAAUGGGUAUUAUAAUAUUAUUGUCUUCGAAUGGGUAGAAUCAGUAAAGCUGAGAGACUGGUGAAAAAACAACUAAAGCUCACCGGUUACGACUCACCAGGAGUUGCAGACAGACGAAGGAGACGACGGAGCAGUUGUAGACGAAGAAGAGGGAGACGACGGCGCAGUUGCAGAUGGAGACGACGGGUCACGGAACAGUUGCAGAUGACGGUCAAUGGGGAUUCGUGAAAGUCUCCCAAGCAGAGUGAUUUCUGAGAGGUAAAUCCGAAUAUUUUUUUUCUGAUUAUCCUUUGAUUUUAGAGUGAUUUCAGUUAACUAAGUUCGAUCAAUCACGAUUCUAUGCGGAUUUUUUGUGAUUUUUUUUGUGAUUAUCCUCCUAUUUCAGUUUCAAAUGUAUCCGAAAAGUAGGAUACACGUAUCUGGACAAUACGAUACGCGUAUCUCAUCAGUCCCAAACGUAUCCUUUCACUCCAAUACGUAUCGAACGCGUAUCCACGCGUAUCAUCCGCGUAUCCGUAUCCUCAGCGUGUCAGAUACGGGAUACGGUUGCUUUCUCGCGUGUCCAUGCAUCGUAGAAGUUUACGUACUUUGGUAGUAGCGUGACUGAGUUUGGAGGCGGUGGAAGUUGAGGAAGGCGCAUGGCGGCGGCGAAGCUCGAGCGGUGGCUGGGAUGUUGGGGAUGGGGAAGUUGCAGGUGCAACAACAUGCAAAGUUGUGGUGUUGAAAUUGCUGGCGGUUUGCUGUCGGAAGUUAGACUGGGAGGAGGAGAAGGUGGGAGAAGAAGAGAAAGUGAGAGAGAGAUGGUGUCGUUGGUUCAAAGGAGAGAAGAAGACGGCUACGACAAGGAGGAGGAGAAGAGUUACAGAGAGUAGAUAUGGGGAGCGGAAAUCCAGGGCUUCUGCCAUUUGCUAGCUUCAACUCACCUACUUAAUUUAAUUAAGACUAGCCACUAAUACAUACAUAUAUACAUACAUACAUACAUAUAUAUAUAUAUAUAUAAUAUAGGGUUUUAAUUACAAAUAAUCUUUGAAAUUGACUCACCUCAAGAUAGUCUCUAAAUUGAAAAUCAAUCAAUGUCGUCCUGGAAUUUGCAUGUUGCAGAUCAAUGUCAUCCGUCCGUAUGUAUUUUGUUAAGAAAUUUGUUAGUGUGCUGACGUGACACUUAGGCUCGUCCACUAUGGUGCCAUGUGGAUUAAAAAACAAAAUUAAUUUUUUUAAUUUAGCCUACUAAUUCUCUCUUCCUCUACUCUCUCUUCUUCCCUCCCGUAUACUCUCCCCCUUCAACGCGGCAACGGCAGCCUAGCACCGAAGAGGCGACGGCGCGGCUGUCCUCCGACACCAACGACUCAAAAACUGAUAUUCGUAUAAUCCUCUCUUAAUACCCUUCCAAAUAUCUACUUUCAUCAAAUUCGAAGUUGAUAGGCUCGAAUUUCAAAUCUAGGCCGUGAAAGUUCGUGGGUUUUCUGGCCAAACAUCAAUUUCUUUCUAAUUCUCCUGGGGAUUUUCAACGAGUAAUUCUGAUGGGGGUGUGUUAGUGCGUGGGGGAUUGGAUUUGAAGGGGUGUGUUUUUGUCUAGUUCUCUUUCAUGGCGGAUUCACCGCGUGUUCCAUGUCCAGUGGUGGUGAUGAAAUCUGGAAGCCAUGGCACAAACUUGUUACUCUUAGAACUGUUAAAAGUAUUUCAACUCGUUACUCUUGUAACUGUUAAAAGUAUUUAAAAAAAAAAAAAAAAAGCGUUCUGCAUUGUUUGAAAAAGAAAAAGAAAUAUGGGAAAUGGGAUAUAAAUGAUGAAAGCGUGCGAAGUUUAAUAAGCAUAACCUUUUGUUCUGUUUUUCAGCGUGUUACUUCUGUAAUUGUAAAACGUAUUUUAAAAUGAAAAAAGCAUUCUGCAUUGUUUGAAAAAGAAAAAUAAAUCUUGCAAAUUAGUUCUGAAUGAUGAAAGCUCUCGAAGUUUUGAUAAGAAUUUCGACAUAUUGGUAAGGGAUAUGAGUUUCGCUUUCAUUUUCUCCUCAUACACUUAUGUAUAUGUUUUUGUUCAUACAUUUUUACUAAUUUGUUUAAUCAUGUGACCAUCAAUAAAAAGAAGAGUGCAAACAGAUAUGAUAUGAGUGUGAAAAUCGUUAAUGAGUCUAUAAAUUAAAGUUCCAAACAAGCCCUUAAAUAUUAUACACGAUCUCAAGACGUUGCUGAAAACAGAAAAGAAUAAAAUGAAUAAAGAAAGGUAGAACCCUAGGGGUUGCGUCCUUUAUGUUCUUCAAGACAAAAUUGGUCAAAAUCAAAUCAUAAAAUAAGGGGAACAAACAAUAUUCAAAUCGUAUUGGCUCAUAUAUAUUUCCGUGUUUUCUUAAUUUACUCAACUUAUUCCUAAUAUUGGAAAGAAAAAAAAAACUUGUUCCUAAUAUAAUAGAUAGAUUUUUUUUUUCUUAAAUAUCAUAUAACGAAAAAGAAAAGAAGCAUAAUGAAAAAGAAAGAAGAGAAAGUUGAUAUAUGAAAAUUUAACAAGAGAAACAUAGAAAUAAGUGGAUGCAAGAGAAGAAAAGCGGAAGGGACUUUUCAUUUAUUUAUUCCUAGAGUUUUAUUUAUUCCUCGGAAUAUAAGAUAUAGUGUUUUGUCUCACUUUUUCCAAGUGUAGAGAAGAUCCCAUUGAUGUUUUUUCUCAUCAUAAGAAUAAGCUCCUUCGCGUCUAAUGCUCCAAGAAUACUUAGAUGCAAAACGAGGAUCAUCUCGUUGCGGAUUAUACAAGUCAAAGACAUCAUUAUUGCCAUUUUUCCACCAGAAGAAGCAAAAGAGUCGUGUCUUGGGAGUGACGUCAUCGGAUUUGAAGCUAUGAGAAAAGGAGUGGUGAAACGAGAGGGUUUGUAGGCCGAGGUUUUCAUCAUGGAAUUUGCCGUGAAAGUUGCAGUGAACGACUAAUUUGAUCCGUGAUCCCAAGUCAUUAGUUAUGUUCACAACUCUAGUUACAGGAGGAUCUUGCGCACCCAAACCACCUUCAAAUAGCACAAAGAAUAAGCAAAUAAGCAACAGUAUGUUAUCCUUAUCCAUUGCCAUUGCUCUAAAAAUUAUAUCAAAGGGUAAAUGUUUGUUUGUUUGUUUGUUUGUGUCCAAGCAACAACCAAAGCACCCUUUAUAUAUUUUUGUCAAACAAGCUCUUUAUGGGAUGGGACUGCCAUACAUGCUAAUUACCAUAAACAAAUAUAUCACGUGGAAAUGUAUUUAUCUAGAAAAUCAACUCUAUACAUUGUACAAGCUCUAUUUUUUCUAAUUCAUUGCCAAAUCCUCAUUAUUAUUAUUUUCAAUACAGCAAUAUAUGGAAAAAUCCUCAUUAAUUAAUUGCCAAGAUUAAUUCUUUUCUCAUCUCAAAUUUGCAAUUUCCUAUUAGAGAUGCCUGAUAGCAUGUUGCUUCUUUAUCGAAUGAUAUUAUGUAUAUCCAAUGAUAUUAAACUUUGGUGAAUCCUCCCCAUACACCUACGUCUUCUUUUGCUUAACCAGAGUUAACUUUUCAAAACAAACCAGAAUAUGACUACUAAUUAUGAGAGAGAAACUAAUAUAAUAAUAAAAUUUUGAAAAAAGGGAUGGGAAGAUGAAAAAUAUAAACUAAUUAUGCACAGUGCGAACUAAUUAUAAAUCAAUUAUGCAAAUACAGAAUCCCGAAAUGGAAGUAAGUGAAAAUACAAAUUACAUAGAGAGGAGAGAGACGUGGGAGAAGAAGGUGUACAUGUCAAAGUACAUUUUGACCCCUGUAUCUAAUGGAAAAUGUUUCGGAAUUAAAUUUGUUAACGGAGUUCACCACAAGGAUUUAAAUCUUAAUAUUUUGACUACGGAGCUAUCUUUCAAAUACGACUGUUUCAGCUUUAACCAACAACAAAGCCCAAACUUAUUCCUCAUUCGUACACGUGUGGUUUCAAUGUCACGUAGCGCUCAAUGGAAUUAAGCCAAAGAAAGCCGAAAACCUAAUGUUGUCAAUGGCAAUACAAAUGGCACAAGCAGAAUGAAAGGGAUUUUGAAACCGCCGAUGAAAAAAUUUCAUUAGUAACAUCUUAUAUAUUGCAGGUUUAAUCGGAAGCCAGUAGUUUUAUAACACAAAACACAUGGUAGAUACAUGUUUCUCCACAUCCAUCCUUAAAAUAUACGCUAUCGUUAGCAAUCUUCCGCAUUGCGCGCUCACAAGACACAGCCCGAAUUUUUCCUUCUGGAAAAGUUACUCUAUUUGCACCAGGAAGGCCCGAGUGUAAUCAUUUGCAUCGAUGCUCAUAGCCUAGAAACUGGUAAACCUACAUUGGAACAGAAGUUUUCUGCAAAGAUGAUUUUCCUGCAUGAUGCUGGCGAAGUUAGGAAAGUUUAUUUACAUUUGACAAUGCUAGGACUGGCAGCUGGUGGUGGAGCGUUCUCUUUGAGAACUGGUUCCACCUGGUUUGUAUUCGACCAAACAGGGUAUCCUUUAAUUUUUCCCCUAAAUCAUAACAAAUGUAAGGACUGUCAGUACUUUAGUGCCAAAGCUGCAGAAAAUUUUUUGAAGCAAUUUUUGAAUGAUGUGAGCUAUUUCGAAUGCUGCGAUUCUAUUAAUUUCUUUUCUGCCAUUUUCCGAUAUUUAAUUUGGUUGGAAACUCACCAAUUGAUGGAGUUAAGCUAUAUAUGUUUUUGUUUCUGGAAAGGUUCAGUCUUUAAGUGAAGGAAGCUAGUUGAUACUUGAUAUGCAACAAGAAGAAAUUGUUGUUGCUACCAAAACUUAUCUAAUAAACUAACCAGGGAGUUAGGCAUUUUCGUGUUUCGGACAUUUCAAAUUACAUGUCACUGUACUGUAAUUUUUCUGUGGCCAUAGACGGAUCAGAUGCAUAAACAAGGGGAUUCAUCAACAUAAAACUAUGAGAACAAUUGGUUUCUUGAAAUCAAAUUUCAUAUUCGUAACUUCAUAUCAUGAAUGCUAACAAUGUAGUCAUCCGUAAGCCCCGAUCAUGUACGAAACAAACAAGCCCUUAAAUAUUAUACACGAUCUCAAGACGUUGCUGAAAACUGAAAAGAAUAAAAUGAAUAAAGAAAGGUAGAACCCUAGAGGUUGCGUCCUUUAUGUUCUUCAAGACAAAAUUGGUCAAAAUCAAAUCAUAAAAAUAAGGGGAACAAACAAUAUUCAAAUCGUAUUGGCUCAUAUAUUUCCGUGUUUCUUAAUUUACUCAACUUAUUCCUAAUAUUGGAAAGAAAAAAAAACUUGUUCCUAAUAUAAUAGAUAGAUUUUUUUUCUUAAAAUAUCAUAUAACGAAAAAAGAAAGAAGCAUAAUGAAAAAGAAAGAAGAGAAAGUUGAUAUAUGAAAAUUUAACAAGAGAAACAUAGAAAUAAGUGGAUGCAAGAGAAGAAAAGCGGAAGGGACUUUUCAUUUAUUUAUUCCUAGAGUUUUUAUUUAUUCCUCGGAAUAUAAGAUAUAGUGUUUUGUCUCACUUUUUCCAAGUGUAGAGAAGAUCCCAUUGAUGUUUUUUCUCAUCAUAAAAAUAAGCUCCUUCGCGUCUAAUGCUCCAAGAAUACUUAGAUGCAAAACGAGGAUCAUCUCGUUGCGGAUUAUACAAGUCAAAGACAUCAUUAUUGCCAUUUUUCCACCAGAAGAAGCAAAAGAGUCGUGUCUUGGGAGUGACGUCAUCGGAUUUGAAGCUAUGAGAAAAGGAGUGGUGAAACGAGAGGGUUUGUAGGCCGAGGUUUUCAUCAUGGAAUUUGCCGUGAAAGUUGCAGUGAACGACUAAUUUGAUCCGUGAUCCCAAGUCAUUAGUUAUGUUCACAACUCUAGUUACAGGAGGAUCUUGCGCACCCAAACCACCUUCAAAUAGCACAAAGAAUAAGCAAAUAAGCAACAGUAUGUUAUCCUUAUCCAUUGCCAUUGCUCUAAAAAUUAUAUCAAAGGGUAAAUGUUUGUUUGUUUGUUUGUUUGUGUCCAAGCAACAACCAAAGCACCCUUUAUAUAUUUUUGUCAAACAAGCUCUUUAUGGGAUGGGACUGCCAUACAUGCUAAUUACCAUAAACAAAUAUAUCACGCGGAAAUGUAUUUAUCUAGAAAAUCAACUCUAUACAUUGUACAAGCUCUAUUUUUUCUAAUUCAUUGCCAAAUCCUCAUUAUUAUUAUUUUCAAUACAGCAAUAUAUGGAAAAUCCUCAUUAAUUAAUUGCCAAGAUUAAUUCUUUUCUCAUCUCAAAUUUGCAAUUUCCUAUUAGAGAUGCCUGAUAGCAUGUUGCUCCUUUAUCGAAUGAUAUUAUGUAUAUCCAAUGAUAUUAAACUUUGGUGAAUCCUCCCCAUACAUCUACGUCUUCUUUUGCUUAACCAGAGUUAACUUUUCAAAACAAACCAGAAUAUGACUACUAAUUAUGAGAGAGAAACUAAUAUAAUAAUAAAAUUUUGAAAAAGGGAUGGGAAGAUGAAAAAUAUAAACUAAUUAUGCACAGUGCGAACUAAUUAUAAAUCAAUUAUGCAAAUACAGAAUCCCGAAAUGGAAGUAAGUGAAAAUACAAAUUACAUAGAGAGGAGAGAGACGUGGGAGAAGAAGGUGUACAUGUCAAAGUACAUUUUGACCCCUGUAUCUAAUGGAAAAUGUUUCGGAAUUAAAUUUGUUAACGGAGUUCACCACAAGGAUUUAAAUCUUAAUAUUUUGACUACGGAGCUAUCUUUCAAAUACGACUGUUUUUAGCUUUAACCAACAACAAAGCCCAAACUUAUUCCUCAUUCGUACACGUGUGGUUUCAAUGUCACGUAGCGCUCAAUGGAAUUAAGCCAAAGAAAGCCGAAAACCUAAUGUUGUCAAUGGCAAUACAAAUGGCACAAGCAGAAUGAAAGGGAUUUUGAAACCGCCGAUGAAAAAUUUCAUUAGUAACAUCUUAUAUAUUGCAGGUUUAAUCGGAAGCCAGUAGUUUUAUAACACAAAACACAUGGUAGAUACAUGUUUCUCCACAUCCAUCCUUAAAAUAUACGCUAUCGUUAGCAAUCUUCCGCAUUGCGCGCUCACAAGACACAGCCCGAAUUUUUCCUUCUGGAAAAGUUACUCUAUUUGCACCAGGAAGGCCCGAGUGUAAUCAUUUGCAUCGAUGCUCAUAGCCUAGAAACUGGUAAACCUACAUUGGAACAGAAGUUUUCUGCAAAGAUGAUUUUCCUGCAUGAUGCUGGCGAAGUUAGGAAAGUUUAUUUACAUUUGACAAUGCUAGGACUGGCAGCUGGUGGUGGAGCGUUCUCUUUGAGAACUGGUUCCACCUGGUUUGUAUUCGACCAAACAGGGUAUCCUUUAAUUUUCCCCUAAAUCAUAACAAUGUAAGGACUGUCAGUACUUUAGUGCCAAAGCUGCAGAAAAUUUUUUGAAGCAAUUUUUGAAUGAUGUGAGCUAUUUCGAAUGCUGCGAUUCUAUUAAUUUCUUUUCUGCCAUUUUCCGAUAUUUAAUUUGGUUGGAAACUCACCAAUUGAUGGAGUUAAGCUAUAUAUGUUUUUGUUUCUGGAAAGGUUCAGUCUUUAAGUGAAGGAAGCUAGUUGAUACUUGAUAUGCAACAAGAAGAAAUUGUUGUUGCUACCAAGACUUAUCUAAUAAACUAACCAGGGAGUUAGGCAUUUUCGUGUUUCGGACAUUUCAAAUUACAUGUCACUGUACUGUAAUUUUUCUGUGGCCAUAGACGGAUCAGAUGCAUAAACAAGGGGAUUCAUCAACAGAAAACUAUGAGAACAAUUGGUUUCUUGAAAUCAAUUUCAUAUUCGUAACUUCAUAUCAUGAAUGCUAACAAUGUAGUCAUCCGUAAGCCCCGAUCAUGUACGAAACAAACAAGCCCUUAAAUAUUAUACACGAUCUCAAGACGUUGCUGAAAACUGAAAAGAAUAAAAUGAAUAAAGAAAGGUAGAACCCUAGAGGUUGCGUCCUUUAUGUUCUCCAAGACAAAAUUGGUCAAAAUCAAAUCGUAAAAUAAGGGGAACAAACAAUAUUCAAAUCGUAUUGGCUCAUAUAUUUCCGUGUUUCUUAAUUUACUCAACUUAUUCCUAAUAUUGGAAAGAAAAAAAAAACUUAUUCCUAAUAUAAUAGAUAGAUUUUUUUUCUUAAAUAUCAUAUAAAGAAAGAAGAGAAAAUUGAUAUAUGAAAAUUAAACAAGAGAAAAAUAGAAAUAAGUGGAUGCAAGAGAAGAGACGGGGAAGGGACUUUUCAUUUAUUUAUUCCUAGAGUGUUAUUUAUUUCUCGGAAUAAAUGAUAUAGUAUUUUGUCUCACUUUUUCCAAGUGUAGAGAAGAUCCCAUCGAUGGUUUUUCUCAUCAUAAGAAUAAGCUCCUUUGCGUCUAAUGCUCCAAGAAUACUUAGCUGCAAAACGAGGAUCAUCUCGUUGCGGAUUACAAGUCAAAGACAUCAUUGCCAUUUUUCCACCAAAAGAAGCAAAAGAAUCGUGUCUUGGGAGUGAUGUCAUCGGAUUUGAAGCUAUGAGAAAAGGAGUGGUGAAACGAGAGGGUUUGUAGGCCGAGGUUUUCGUCAUGGAAUUUGCCGUGAAAGUUGCAAUGAACGAGUAAGUUGAUCCUUGAUCCCAAGUCAUUAGUUAUGUUCACAACUUUGGUUACAGAAGGAUCUUGCGCACCCAAACCACCUUCAAAUAGCACAAAGAAUAAGCAAAUAAGCAAGAGUAUGGACACCUUAUCCAUUGCCAGUGCUCUAAAAAUUAUAUCAAAGGGUAAAUGUUUGUUUGUUUGUUUGUGUCCAAGCAACAACCAAAGCACCCUUUAUAUAUUUUUGUCAAACAAGCUCUUUAUGGGAUGGGACUGCCAUGCAUGCUAAUUACCAUAAACAAAGAUAUCACGCGGAAAUGUAUUUUUCUAGAAAAUCAAUUCUAUACAUUGUACAAGCUUUAUUUUUCUAAUUCAUCGCCAAAUCCUCAUUAUUAUUAAUUUCAAUACAGCAAUAUAUGGAAAAUCCUCAUUAAUUAAUUGCCAAGAUUAAUUCUUUUCUCAUCUCAAAUUUACAAUUUCCUAUUAGAGAUGCCUGAUAGCAUGUUGCUCCUUUAUCGAAUGAUAUUAUGUUUAUCGAAUGAUAUUAAACUUUGGUGAAUCCUCCCCAUACACCUACGUCUUCUUUUGGUUAACCAGAGUUAACUUUUCAAAACAAACCAGAAUAUGACUACUAAUUAUGAGAGAGAAACUAAUAUAAUAAUAAAAUUUUGAAAAUGGGUUGGGAAGAUGAAAAAUAUAAACUAAUUAUGCACAGUACGAACUAAUUAUAAAUUAAUUUUGCAAAUACAGAAUCCCGAAAUGGAAGUAAGUGAAAAUACAAAUUACAUAGAGAGGAGAGAGAAGUGGGAGAAGAAGGUGUACAAGUCAAAGUACAUUUUGAUCUGUAUCUAAUGGAAAAUGUUUUGGAAUUAAAUUGGUUGAUGGAGUUCACCACAAGGAUUUAAAUUUUAAUAUUUUGACUACGGAGCUAUCUUUCAAAUACGACCAUUUCAGCUUUAACCAAUAACAAAGCCCAAACUUAUUUCUCAUUCGUACACGUGUGGUUUCAUUGACACGUAGCGCGCUCAAUGGAAUUAAGCCAGAGAGAAAACCGAAAACCUAAUGUUGUCAAUGGCAAUACAAAUGGCACAAGUAGAAUGAAAGGGAUUUUGAAACCGCAUAUGAAAAAUUUCAUUAUUAACAUCUUAUAUAUUGCAGGUUUAAUCGGAAGCCAGUAGUUUAUGUAAAAUCAAUAUAUGCGGAAACAUGUAAUUCACGAUACCAAAUUAACCAUUAACCUUGUGACGCCAUUCCUGCAAUGAACUAAGGGUUCUUCUACUUUCUACACAGACCGAAUGCACUGCUACAAUCAAUGGGGUUUGAUAUCUUUUGUGCGUAAUUUGUGAGAGAGCAGAGGACCCUAUUAUAUAUCCUAACUGGUGGUGUUUGAUAAGGAUACUUCCCAUCAUGUAAUCCUUAUCAAACUAUCAUACUAAUAACCCUUAUCACCACAAAACCAUACUAUUCAUAUCAGUAUAGAUAUAUAUCUACUCAUAUCAGGAUUACUUUAGCUAUAUAGUCCACAUACACUCCUGGAUAGCUUACAAGUAUAGUCAAUCUAAAUCUCUUAUGAUCCCAAUCCCUUAAGCACAUGUUAAACAAGUGAGCAGCUCUAACAAAGCUUACAUUCUCCCACUAGAGCCAACACUUUUUUUAUCACAGUACCACCUAAUAAGAAAUCAUAUUUGAAUGGCCAUGAGAAUAAGAUUAACAAAACCCCGAUAACAAGUUUCUGUCAUAAGUUAGUAUUCAUGAAGAACUAAAGGGAAGUCAUGCUUUAAUAUAUAAACAUUAUCCCCAAAAUUACUGUCAUGAAACCAUCAAACACAUGAAACUCCAUCAAGACAUGAAAAAUAAUAUAACACUGCAAUUCUGGGAAACCUUUGCAACUAGCAGCGUAUUACUUUAUUAGUUAAGAUGAUCUAAACAUAAAUACUUUAAUGCAUAUUCCAAAAAUACCUGAAUAAACCAAUGUCCAAGAACAAAUGUCUUAAACAUGAUCAAAAAACUCCCACUGUUCUGCAGUAUCAAAAACUUCCAGCACUUCUAUUUUGCUUAUAUGUUUCUUGAAUACUGCCACUGGAAUGGCCUUGUUCAACAGAUCUGCUAUCAUAGAACCUGUCUCCAAAUAAUUAAUUUUAACCAAACCAUCCAUCACCUUUUCACAAGCAACAAGAAACUUUAUCUCCAGGUUCCUUGUAGCAUUGGAUCUCUUAUUGUUCUUUGUGAAGAAAAUCGAUGCACUAUUAACACAGUAAAGCUGAAUGAAUCUUGAGAUUGAGUCAACAAUAUGAAGACCAAUGAUAAAAUCCUUGAACCAAACUACCUAAUUCACAGUUUCACAGCAAGACAAGUACUUUACCACCAUUGUCGAAGAAUGCAACGAUGUCUUGCUUGGCACUCCUCUAAGAGACAACUCCAUUAGCCAUCAUGAACACAUAGCUUGAAGUUGAUUUCAAAUCAUCUAAGUAAUCAGUGAAGUCUGCGUCAUUGUAUCAUUCUAAGACCAAGUUUUCAGUCUUCUUAUAAACCAGCAUAUGAGACCUAGUUUUCUCCAAGUACCUUAGAACUCUUUUCCCAGCAUUCCAGUGUGCUUCUCCUGCAUCAAACUGGAAUCUCCUUAAAAAAAAUAAAAAAUUGAUGGUAAAAGAUAGGUCUGGCUUAGUACAGACUUGAGCAUUCAUUAAGCUCCUUACUAAUGAUGCGUAAUGAUUAUCCUUCAUCAUUUCAUUUUCCAAAUUAUUUAUGGGACAUUGCUCAUUGCUUAGCUUAGCAUUCUUCAAUAUAGACAUUCCAAUUGUGUCGCAUGCUGACAUGUUGAAUCUCUUUUAAAACUUUCUUAAUGAUUAUUUUGUGACAACCCUAACAAUCCUUUUUUUUUCUUCUUCCUUUUAAUCUCGAUGCCGAUUACAUAAGAGGGCUCACCUAAAUAUUUCACCUCUAAAUGCUCUCUCCCUUUCUCCUUCAAACUCUCCGGUUGUAUCGUAUAUAUACUUUCCUCCAAAUCACCAUUUAAGAAAGUCGUCUUUACAGCCAUUUGAUGCAAAACAAGUCAAAAUGUGCCACCAUUGCCAUGAUUACUCUGAAUGCAUCUUUCGUUGGUACUAGACUAGAAGUUUCUUUAUAAUCGGUACCUUCUCUUUGAAUGAAUCCCUUGGCCACCAAUCCGACCUUAUGUCUCUUUACAUUUCCCUUUGAGUCUCUCUUGGUUUUAAACACCCGUUUACAACCUUUCUGUUUCAUGCCUUCUCUUGGUUCCACUAGUUCCCAUACUUUGUUUUCUUCCAUUGAUGACAAUUCAGACUCCAUAGCUUCUAAUUGUUUGCUUGGUUUUGGACUCGUGAUGGCUUGUUUGAAAGUCCUAGGAUCAUCGAACUUUGAUAAAUUAAAAUAUAGUGUUGAAUUAUGGCCAAACAAACAACUUUCGGCUAUUAAAAAAAAGGAAAAGAAAAAAUUUUUGGUUAUAAAAUUAUAAAGACAUCAUGAUGAGGAGGCAUCAUGAUGAUGUUUUUCUUCUUUUGUGGUUUUUUAUUAGCCGAAAGUGAUGGCUUGUUUUGAAUAAUAAUUCAUUGUUUUGUUUCGGUAGAUGCAAAGAAAAGGAGAGCUCAAUUUUCAGAUUAGAGCAGAAGAGAGAAGAGAGAAGAGUGAGUAGAGAGUUGCAGAGAAAAAGAGUGCAUCAGAAAAAUAGAAAGGGUGCAGCAACCCUUCGUUGAAGAGAAGAAGAAAGUGCUCUUCUUUUUGUUAGCAAUCAUCCAUCAUAAUUGUUGUUGUAAUAGCUUUGAGCUAUAUGUAUAGAGAAGAAAUUAUACAUUAUAUUUCUUUCUCUAUUUUAAGAAAUUAUACAUUAUAUUUCUUUCUCUAUUUGUUUCUGUGGUGUGUGAGAGCUAUUGGGUGUAUUGGGUUAUUUGGGUUGUGAGAUUGCCAACACUUUGUAAACUCCCAUUUGGUUGAUAGUGGAUUAUUGGGUGAGCUCUUACUGCUCCGAGGACGUACUCCAGUUACACUGACUGUUGAGGAACCUCGUUAAAAUCUUGGUGUUCUUUUAUAUUUUGUUCUUGCAUUUUCAUUUGAUAUAUUAUCUGUGGGUUAGAUUGAGUUGGUUCCAACGGGUUUGGUGCUGUCCUAGCACAACAAUUGGUAUCAGAGCACUAGUUGCUCUUGGGUACUAUCUAGUUGCCAAAGAUGUCAGACGGGCAAGAUGAGAAUCCUUUUGGAAGCACCUCCGGGUUUGCAAGAACUACGGUGCAAAAUGCAAAGUUCGAAGUGGAAAAGUUUGAUGGCACAAACAACUUCGGGAUGUGGCAAUGUGAGGUUAAAGAUGUGUUGGCUCAACAAGAUCUACUUGCCGCUUUGGGAGAAAAACCGGAAGCUAUGUCGAAGUCGGAAUGGGAGAAAUUAAAUUUGUGGGCUUGCUCUUCAAUUCGGUUGUGCCUAGCAAAAACUCAGAAGUAUUUUGUGAUGCGGGAGACGGUAGCAAGUGUGUUGUGGCAAAAAUUGGAAGACAAGUAUAUGACGAAGAGUGCAGAGAACCGGCUACACUUGAAGAAAAAGCUCUACCGCUUCCAAUACAAAGAAGGUACAAAAAUGAUUAGACACCUUGAUGCUUUUAAUAAGUUGAUUGCCGACUUGUUAAAUUUAGAUGAGGAUAUUAAGGAUGAAGAUAAGGCCUUAAUAUUGUUGAAUUCCUUGCCGGACUCUUAUGAGCAUUUUGUUACCACUAUUAUGCAUGGUAAAGAAACUGUGAAAUUUGAAGAUGUGUCAAAUGCCUUGAUGAAUUAUGAAAUGAGGGCAUAGAGAUAAAAAUCAUGAUAGUACCUCUGAAGCUUUAUUUGUUAGAGGUAGAUCAUCGGAGAGAAGAUCAUCUUCUAGCAGGAAAAAAUCACAGUCUCGACCUAGAGGAAACUCUAAAGGUAGAAAACCUUUGGAAAGGGAUGAAUGUGCCUUUUGUCGUAAUAAGGGCCAUUGGAAGAAAGAUUGUCCUAAAUUGAAGACCAAAGGCAAAGAAAGUUCUGAAACUAAUGUUGCUGAGGUUGAAACAGAUUUUUCUGAUUUUGCUUUAACCACUUCCUCAUCAUUUGAUUGUGCUACUAAGUGGGUGUUGGAUACGGGUUGUACUCAUCAUAUGACUCCUCAUAAGGAUUGGUUUUCAAGCUUGAAAGAGUUUGAUGGUGGCGUUGUGUUUAUGGGAGAUGACAAUCCUUGCACAACAAAAGGGAUUGGUACAGUUCGUUUGAAGUUGCAUGAUGGCAUGGUUAAAGAGUUGACAGGUGUUCGGUAUGUACCGAAUUUGAAGAAAAAUCUUAUUUCUUUGGGUACUUUGGAAUCCAAGGGUUUCAGGUUUCAUUCAGAUGGACAGACAUUGAAAGUUACUUAUGGUGCACUUGUUGUGAUGAAAGCUCCUAGAUGUGGCCAUUUGUAUUUAUUGCAGGGAAGCACUGUGACAGGUGAAGCAUCUGUAGUAUCUGAAAAUAUGGGCACAUCUGAUUCAGAUACUACUAGACUGUGGCAUAUGAGAUUAGGCCAUGUUGGUGAGAAAGCUCUACAAGGGCUUGUGAAAAAAGGUCUUCUAAAAGGUGCCACGACUUGUAAGCUUGAUUUCUGCGAGCAUUGUGUCUUGGGGAAGCAAACUAGAGUGAAGUUUGGUACUGCUGUACAUCAGACGAAUGGCAUUCUUGAUUAUGUGCAUUCAGAUGUUUGGGGUCCUACAAAGACUCCCUCUUUGAGUGGUAGACAUUGGUUCGUGACCUUUGUUGAUGAUUAUUCAAGAAGAUCUUGGGUCUACACUAUGAAGCACAAGAGUGAGGUGUUAAGCAUUUUCUUGGGUUGGAAGAAAAUGGUUGAGAACCAGACUGGGAGAAAGAUUAAGAUUUUGAGAUCGGAUAAUGGUGGUGAAUACACAUCCGAUCUUUUCUUUAAAGUUUGCAAAGAGGAGGAAUUGUGAGACAUUUCAGUGUUCGGGGAACUCCACAACAAAAUGGAGUUGCAUAAAGAUUGAAUCGAACCUUGCUUGAGAAGGUUAGAUGUAUGUUGUCUCAGUCGGGUUUGAGCAAGUCAUUUUGGGCAGAAGCAGUUAAUUAUGCAUGUCACAUCAUCAACCGGUUACCCUCAGCUGCUAUUCAGGGUAAGACACCAAUGGAGGUAUGGACUGGAAAAUCUUCCUGAUUAUGACUAUAUCCGUAUUUUUGGUUCACCUGCUUAUUUUCAUGUAACUGAAAAUAAACUUGAUCCUAGAGCCAAAAAGGCUAUCUUUCUUGGUUUUAGUAGUGGUGUUAAAGGUUACAGGUUGUGGUGCCCAGAGAUGAAAAAACUUGUAAUCAGUAGAGAUGUGACAUUUGAUGAAGAAAGUAUGUACAAAGUCUCUGAGAAGAAUGUGAAAGAUGUCCAACAGGUGGAGCUUGAGAAAGUUGCCUCUGAUACUUCAAAUCCUAUUUCCGCUGAUGUCGAAGCCACUACAAGUGAAGAAGUUGGAAACCAUGAGGAUGUUGAAGAAGUUGAACUUGAAGAUUCUAUUCAAGUUGAAGAACAAGUUUCACUUCAAGAGUCUAUUGCCAAGAACAAAGGAAAGAGACAAAUUACCAAGCCAGCUCGGUAUAGUGAUUAUGUUGCUUUUGCUCUUCCUAUUAUCACUGAAGAGAUUCCAUCCAAUUAUGAGGAAGCCAUUGAGAGUGAGGAGAAGAAGAGGUGGUGCAAUGCCAUGGGUGAUGAGAUGAAUUCUCUCUGGAAGAACAAGACUUGGGAGUUAGCUAAAUUGCCUAAGGGCAAGGAAGCUAUCGGUUGCAAAUGGGUGUAUGCCAAGAAGGAAAAUGCUGAUGAGAAAAGCAAUGUGAGAUUUAAAGCAAGAUUAGUUUCUAAAGGGUAUGCACAAAAGGAGGGCAUUGACUACAAUGAAAUAUUUUCUCCAGUUGUGAAGCACUCAUCAAUUCGUAUUAUGUUAGCUCUUGUUGCACAAUAUGAUCUUGAGCUUGUGCAACUCGAUGUGAAGACGGCUUUCCUACAUGGUGAUUUGAAUGAAGAGAUCUAUAUGUGUCAACCGGAUGGGUAUAUAGUGAAAGGGAAGGAAAAUUUGUUUUGCAAAUUGAAGAAAUCACUUUAUGGCUUGAAGCAAUCUCCAAGGCAAUGGUAUUUGAGGUUUGAUAAAUUUAUGAGAGGCCAAAAUUAUUCUAGAAGUCAAUAUGAUCAUUGUGUGUGUACUUCAAGAAGUUGCAAGAUGGGUCUUUCAUUUAUUUAUUGAUAUAUGUUGAUGAUAUGUUGAUUGCCUCAAAGAAUGUCGAAGGAUUGAGAAAUUGAAGAAGCAAAUGAAGAAUGAGUUUGAGAUGAAGGAUCUUGGUGAAGCGAAGAAGAUCCUUGGCAUGGAGAUCACUAGAGAUAGAGCAAAGGGUUUCAUCAGUUUGAAUCAAAGACAAUACCUUGAGAAGUUGAUUCGGAAGUUUGGAGUUCAUGAUUCAACCAAACCGGUUAGUACCCAUUUGGCUCCUCAUUUUAAAUUGAGUUCUUUACAAUGUCCUAAAAAUGAUAAAGAGAAGCUGCAAAUGAAAAAUAUACCAUAUGCAAAUUUGGUUGGUAGUUUGAUGUAUGCAAUGGUAUGCUCUAGACCGGAUAUUGCUCAUGCAGUUGGCAUGGUGAGUCGAUAUAUGCAUAAUCCAGGUAAAGAGCACUGGCAAGCAGCUAAGUGGAUAUUGAGAUAUCUCCAUGGUACUCGAGAUGUUGGUUUAUGCUUUGAGAUGGAUGACUCUGGUAUUGGUCAUUUUGCAGUUGGUUAUGUUGAUUCAGAUUAUGCAGGUGAUAUAGAUGGAAGGAAGUCUACUACAGGCUAUGUGUUUACUAUGGCUAAAGGACCAGUUUGUUGGAGGUCCAUUUUGCAGUCGUCUGUUGCCUUGUCUACUACAGAGGCUGAAUAUAUGGCAGUUGCUGAAGCUAUAAAGGAGGCCAUUUGGAUACAUGGGCUGAUUAGGGAUUUGGGGGUUGAUCAGAAGCAGGUGGAGGUACAUUGUGAUAGUCAGAGUGCCAUUUAUUUGGCUAAGUAUCAGGUUCAUCAUGCGAGGACCAAGCACAUAGAUGUGCGUUAUCACUUUGUUCGUGAAAUUGUUGGUGAAGGGGAAAUCAUUCUCCAGAAGAUUCCAACUAAAAGAUAACCUCGCUGAUAUGUUGACUAAGGUUGUUGGUGUAGCCAAGUUUGUUCACUGUUUGAACUUGGCUCACAUUUUGCCUAUAUAAAAAAGGCGUUGAGCAGUAGGAGUUUUGGAGCAUUUGGCUCGGCAUGAGUUGUUCUCUUGCUAGUGUUUGGGAGUGAUUUUUUGUGUUGAUUGUGUUGGUUGGCUUAUCAUGGUGUUUUCGGAAUUUGGCCAAUGUGGAGAUUGUUGAAUUAUGGCCACACAAACAACUUUCGGCUAUUAAAAAAAGGAAAAGAAAAAACUUUUGGUUAUAAAAUUAUAAAGACAUCAUGAUGAGGAGGCAUCAUGAUGAUGUUUUUCUUCUUUUGUGGUUUUUUAUUAGCCGAAAGUGAUGGCUUGUUUUGAAUAAUAAUUCAUUGUUUUGUUUCGGUAGAUGCAAAGAAAAGGAGAGCUCAAUUUUCAGAUUAGAGCAGAAGAGAGAAGAGAGAAGAGUGAGUAGAGAGUUGCAGAGAAAAGGAGUGCAUCAGAAAAAUAGAAAGGGUGCAGCAACCCUUCGUUGAAGAGAAGAAGAAAGUGCUCUUCUUUUUGUUAGCAAUCAUCCAUCAUAAUUGUUGUUGUAAUAGCUUUGAGCUAUAUGUAUAGAGAAGAAAUUAUACAUUAUAUUUCUUUCUCUAUUUGUUUCUGUGGUGUGUGAGAGCUAUUGGGUGUAUUGGGUUAUUUGGGUUGUGAGAUUGCCAACACUUUGUAAACUCCCAUUUGGUUGAUAGUGGAUUAUUGGGUGAGCUCUUACUGCUCCGAGGACGUACUCCAGUUACACUGACUGUUGAGGAACCUCGUUAAAAUCUUGGUGUUCUUUUAUAUUUUGUUCUUGCAUUUUCAUUUGAUAUAUUAUCUGUGGGUUAGAUUGAGUUGGUUCCAACGGGUUUGGUGCUGUCCUAGCACAACAUAUAGUUCUGCCAAAUACACAAAAUUUGAUGAGAAUGUUGACUUUCUUACCCUAUUUGAUUUCCUCAAAAGCGGUGGAGCAUCACCGACUGCCAAAAAAUGGUGAGUUUAGUCAGUGUUUGCUGCCAUUGGCAGUGCUUCCUCCAUGUGUGCUUUCUGAUUUCCUGCAUGUUGUUCAUCAUUCAACAACACCCCACGUACCCUGCUUUCUGAUUUCCUGAUUUCAGUGCCAUGCUCUAGUCGGUAGUCAUUGCCACUUGGAGAUGCCACAUCCACAUACCCUGCAUGAUCGUUACUUUACUGCUCACAAUGCAACAUGUUGAGAAAAACUUAAGAGUACACAACUCUUACACAAGUGUUGGAGAGACAACACAAAUAAACAAAUUACUUGUAUUACACACACAAAAUAUUACAACACUCAAAACACUCAAAGACACACUUUAGAAGCAAUGACACUCACUCACUUUCUAGAGACAAACUCUAGAUCACUCACACUCCUCACAAGACUACUCUUACUUCUCACUCUCACUUGGUUGCUUGCUUGCUUGAUUACUUCUUUCUUAUUUUGUUGCAUUGCAAGACACACACACACACACACCUAUUUAUAGGUGGUGUUCAUCAACCUUCCCUCUUCCCACCGAUAUGGGCAUUACAUAAUGGCCACACAAUUGUACAAAUAGCUAGAUCUUUCUAGCUAGGGAUCAUGCACUGCCACCAACAUGCUUGCUAGAGCUUUCUAGCAAAAUCAUGCUUUCAUUCAUGAUUCCAAAUGGGCUGGCCCUUAAUUAAUGGGCUGGUGUUGUAUUUUUAACACUCCCCCUCAUCACCAGCUCAUUCUUUUCUCCAUGCUGAGUUGACGACGAAACUUUUUAAACUUGCCGGUACUCAAACCUUUAGUGAACAAGUCCGCAACUUGUUCAUCUGUAUUGAUUUGUCUCAUCUCAAUCUCUUCUUGCAAGACCUUCUCUCUAAUGAAAUGGUAGUGUACCUCCACAUGCUUAGUUCUCACAUGAAAGACUGGAUUUUCCGCUAAACGAAUUGCCGACUGAUUGUCACAGUACAACAGAACUACAUAAUCCACUGGUUGAUGUAAAUUAUUCAUUAGCUGUAUCAACCAUGUACUCUCUUGAGCUGCCAUUGCCGCUGCUCGAUACUCAGCUUCAGUGGUUGAUAAUGAUACCGUCGGUUGUCUCUUGCUAUACUAAGAAAUUGUUCCAGAACCAAGCUUAAACACAUACCCAGUUGUUGAUCUCCUAGUGUCAUGAUCUCCUGCAUAGUCAGCAUCACAGUAACCAACAAACUUGCAGUCUUCACCUUUCUUGUACAAAAGACCAUAGUCAAUUGUACUCUUCACAUAUCUCAGUACUCGUUGAACUGCUUCCAAGUGAGGCUUCUUUGGAUUUUACAUGUACCGACUCAUCACACCAACUGCAUAAGAAAUGUCAGGUCGAGUCAAGGUUAAGUAGAUCAGACUACCUACCAAUUGUCGAUACAUCGUCGCAUCUUCCAAAUCUUUUCCUUCAUAUGCACACAUUUUAGCAUUUUGCUUCAUCGGCG